AUGAACCGGGACUAUGAGCUAAUAAUUUUUCACUAUUAUCAGUGUUGUCAAUCACGGAUCCCAGAAAAUUUGUUCAAAUCAUCACGCAACAGUGCUAUAUUUGACAAUACUUUAUAUCUAAUCACGCAUUGCACCAAUCAAAUAUUGCAGAACAAAAGUGAUUUCUUAAAAUUCUACUAUGCUAUAGUGCCUCUAUCACCGCUAUUUGAAAACACUGGCUAUUAUACCUUUAAUAACAGUUAUACCUUUCAUAACAGUUGA